GUAUUAUCAUUUAAUAUAUUAAAAACUGAAAAAGAAAAUUCGAGCAUGCUUAUAUCAACUACAUACUCGUAUUCGACACUUCCCAAUCCGAGUACGAAAUCAACUCUCUUGUCCUACGUUACAGUCUAGGGUGAGAGUAUUGGACACAGGUAUAUUUGGAAGGUCGUUGGAGGAUCAUAUCUCCAUUCCAAUGUUUGGUCAGAUAUAAUUUUUUACUAAAAAAAAUGAAUAAUCGAAAUAACAUAGAAUAUGUCAAUCGUGUAGUUAACAAUCAAAUACAUUGAAAAUGUGCAGGUUGAUGUUGAUGUUGCAUCUUCAACAGUGGCACGGAGUGUAUGUAAUCUUGUUAUUGGAUAUUUUAGCAGUAUGGUCCUUGAAUUGGCAUUUGUUAUAGAGGUAAGACAUAUCUUCCUACAUGCAUGGACAGGGAUAGAAAAAAAAUUAAGUAAAACAUGAUAUUUAAACAUUACUAACAAGGGUUUGCAUUUUUAUUAUUAUAGAAGAUCCUUUCUAUCCAGUAUCACACUAUGACUUAUUUUUCAUUUUAUUGAUUCGUUUUUGCUAUCUACUUCUUCAGGGUAAUACACGGGAAGAGCUCCCUGAAACCCUUCUUGGAACAAGCAGACUCAAUCGUGUUGAUCUAUCCAAAGCAUUGGUAGCAUUGCCAUAGACUAAAAGGGUUUAUGAUCCGGUUCGAAUUUCAUAAAUUUUGAAAUGUUUUUAGUGAAAUUGGUUGGAAUUAAGGCCGAACCGGUUUUAAUAAUCCAUUUUACUACCCAUUACUAAUACAUAUAAAAGGGAAAGGCUAAAAAUAAUCAAAUCAUGUAAAAGGAAUUUCAAUAUUUCUUUACCAUUGAUUCAAUCAAGUUGAAAAUUGAAAAAAGGAAAAUGAGUAGACUUGGUUUUGAUUCUUUGGUGGGAUUAAUGUUAGACGUAACGUGUUCAUUUCCAUAAUGAUGAGCUUCUAUUGUAUGAUUGAAUAUAACUUUCUGUUUGAAUUUUCACCUUUUUUGUUGUUUCAAUUUUACCAAUAUUGAUUGAAUAUAAUAUAAUUAGUCAUAUAUACCUGUUUUUUUUUUUAAUUUGGAAAAGCCUUUUUUUAAAAAAAAUAGGGAAAUUUUUUUUUAAAAAGAAAAAGAUAUUAUUCAGAUGUAAAAAAUAUAAAAAAAAAUUAUUUAAAUAAAUCAAUACUAUAAUUGAAAGGUUUUUUUAAUAAACUUUGAUAGAAAUAAGUUUUGAUUUAAAAAAGCCAAGAGUGCUAUCCCUAGUAUCCUAGCAAAAAUAGUGACUGCUGCGGCUUGGGAUGACGGAAAGUGGUGCCAACGACGGGUUUAGGGGCGACGAGGUCUCCUUGCUAGCUGAGGAACUUAUACAACUAUCAGUUAAAAGUUCGGUGGUGGAACCAAACGAGAAACCAACUCUAAUCUGCACUAUUUGGACAGAGAAAUCUUAUAAUCAAGAUAGCUUCAAAGCGCAGAUGAAAAGUAUUUGGAAAACAAAGAAAAAGUUUGAGAUUCAAUCAGUAGGGCAAAACCUUUUUGUGAUUGUGUUUGAGUUAGAAGAAGAUUUAGAAACUAUUAUGGAAGGACAGCCAUGGUUGUUUAGGAAAAGUUUAGUUAUCUUUGAUCGAUUGACUAAACCAAUGGAAAGAGAUCAGAUUAGACUUGUUGCAUCCCUGUUUUGGAUCAAGAUUGAGCCGAGUUUACCAGAGUUUGAUAAAAAAAAGAUCUCUUGCAUGCCAUAGGGGUUACUUUUGGAGGUGUUUUCAGAUCUGAAGUUAAUGGUGAGUUUUGUCGCCUUAGAAUUAAAUUAAAUGUACAGAAACCCCUUCGUAGGGGUAUAUUUGUUUUAAGAAGCAAUGGGAAUAGAUAUUGGAUCCCUUUCAAGUACGAAAAAUUACCGAAAUUCUGUUUUGGCUGUGGAAAACUGGGGCAUGACCUUCAAGACUGCAUAGUAGUUAAACCUGUAGAAAAAGACAGAAUUAGAGAAGACCCACCUUUUUCUUUAGCACUAAAAGCAGAAUUAAAUUUAGUUGGAAGGGAGAGUCUGAAAUUUAAUGCUCUAGCAAAAAACAACAACCACAGAGUUCGUACACAAGAGGAAUUAAAGAGAACCAGGAGGCGUACUUAUAUAGUGGUAAAAGUAGCGGCCUGAUUCAAGAAGUGCAAGAAGAUUCGUGGGCGACAAUAACAGGAACGGAGACAAGGAUGAAGCAGGAAGGAGAACACAAUAGGAAUAAAUCAGAGAGAAGCAAAAUAGACGAAGAAUUAAUAAAGCUAGUCAGGAAAUCCAGCUGGAAAAGAGUGGAAUCAACGGGAGUGAUGAAAUAUCAUGGAGUAGAGAGUAAAUUACAGAAAAGGAAAUUGGCAGAUAUUGAUUAUGAUGAUUACAAUACAGAAGAGUCCCGGGAUGAUGCAGCAAAGAGGAGGAGAUAUGAUGGAAAGGAUUUAAUAAACGAGGUUGAAACAAAUUUGUCGGUAGACAACCCCACCCAAAAUAGAUCGACGGCAGCCAAAAGGCAAGCCGAUCGGAUGCAAUGAAAAUCAUAUGCUGGAAUGUUCGUGGAUUGGGG
rnacentral:lncRNA from 1 species